GAGGGUAUAGCUCAGGGGUAGGGUGCAUGCCUAGCAUGCACAAUGUCCUGGGUUCAAUCCCCGGUACUUCCA
rnacentral:tRNA from 1 species